AUGAUCCCCCUGCUGCCUGAUCCCGGGAUUUGGGAAUCCCCAGCGUUCCCAUCCCACGGCGGAGCUCAUCCCGAUCCCAAAAUCCCGGGAUUUGGGACAACGCCCGUCUCCAUCUUCCCAUCGCUUUCAUUUUUGGAGGCUUUUCCUUCAUUUCCCGCCCGUCCUGGAGCGACUUUUCCGUCCUUCCCAAAAUAUCCCCUUCCAUCCUCCCCCUGCCUGUUCCUUCUGUCGUUUUCCCGCUUGGAAAACCAGGAGAGGCUCCGGGGUGCCUUUGGUGCCUUUCGGAGGCCGGAAUUCCUCUCGGGCGGGAUUUUUUGGGAAUUGGUGCCGAUUUUCCCACUCCAGAAGUUUGGGAUGGGCGUUCCAAGGUUGUUCUUCCGUCUCUUCCCGGAGGAGCUCCCGGGAAUCCCCAGAGGCUGCGAUUCCGUGGGGAAUCCGCCGGGAAUUCCCGACAUUCCUUCCGUUCCCUCGUGCGUCGGAAGAGGAUCCUUGGCCGCGGAGCCUCCAAACCUCACGGAAUCCAAAAAUUCCUCAAAACUUCAUGGAAUUCCUUCCAGUUUGGGAUCUCUUUGUUCAUUCCCGGAGAUCUUUGGGACCAAGGUCGGCUUUGAUCCCGGAUUUUCCGUUGGCUCUUCCCACGGGAUCCCCUCGCCGGGGCUCCCCCGCCCCAACAGCACAAGCACAACCCUCCCGGGGAUCCGGAAUUCCCUGGGAUCCGGAAUUCCCUGGGAUCCAGACAUUCCCUGGGAUCCGGAAUUCUCUGGGAGACAGAAUUCCCUGGGAUCUGGCGUUCCCUGGAAUCCAGCAUUCCCUGCAAUUCAGCCUUCAUGGGAAUCCAGGCAUUCCCUGGGAUCUGGAAUUCCCUGGAAUCCAGACAUUCCCUGGGAUCCGAACUCCCUGAGAUCUGGAAUUCCCUGGAAUCCAGCACUGCCUGGAAUCUGCUUAUUCCCUGGAAACUGGUGUUCUCUGGAAUCCAGACUUUCCCUGGAAUCCAGAAUUCCCUGCAAUCCUCUCAUUCCCCGGAAUCCUCUCAUUCCCGUUCUCCUCCCCAGGCGUGGCUUGGCUGGGAUUUCGUUGGAUUUCCCGGGAUUUUCCCCAUGGAAAAUAUGCAAUAAUGGUUUUCCCGGCUGCUCCGGGCCGGCCGCUCCUCCGGGAAGCUCUGGAAGCACAAAGUGCUCGGGAUUCGUUUUGUAA
rnacentral:lncRNA from 1 species